CGUGGGUAACCUGCCCAAGAGAUCGGGAUAACACCUGGAAACAGAUGCUAAUACCGGAUAACAACAGAUGAUGCCUAUCAACUGUUUAAAAGAUGGUUCUGCUAUCACUCUUGGAUGGACCUGCGGUGCAUUAGCUAGUUGGUAGGGUAACGGCCUACCAAGGCGAUGAUGCAUAGCCGAGUUGAGAGACUGAUCGGCCACAUUGGGACUGAGACACGGCCCAAACUCCUACGGGAGGCAGCAGGUA
rnacentral:rRNA from 1 species